CAGCAGUAUCGCCUUGCUUCCGUGGCUGCCUGGCUUUCCUCCUCAGGCAUUUCCCACCACAGUCUCCUCCCUCACAUCCCCUCAAUCCGUCUGUCCUCAGUCAACAGCAGCCCUCUCCUGGGAUUGCUCCACAAUCCCUUAACUCCAGCUCCCAGCCACUGCCCUUUCCAGGGGACCAGUGUUCCUGUCUGGGACUCCAGCGCAUCUGAUCCUCUGAACAAGAGCUUGGAGAAACUGCAAUCACCCUGGUAAACAAGGAGAUAUUUCUAAAAUUCCAGACAUUCCUGGUAAAAAAAGGCCUUCCCAAGCCAUUAACGAUGUGACUAACGAUUCUUUUGCUUUCUGUGGUAAAACAUACACAACAUAAAACUUGCCACUUUAACUAUUUUUAAAUUUUCAGUUUUGUAGCCUUAAGUAAAAUUCACACUAGAGACUUUCCUGGUGGUCCAGUGGCUAAGACUCUGCACUCCCAGUGCAGGGUGCCCAGGUUUGAUCCCUGGUGGGGGAA
rnacentral:tRNA from 1 species